CCUACGGGGGGCAGCAGAGGGGAAUUUUGGACAAUGGGCGGAAGCCUGAUCCAGCCAUGCCGCGUGUGUGAAGAAGGCCUUCGGGUUGUAAAGCACUUUCAGCGAGGAAGAAAGCGUGCUGGCUAACAGUCAUCAGGGAUGACAUUACUCACAGAAGAAGCACCGGCUAACUACGUGCCAGCAGCCGCGGUAAUACGGAGGGUGCGAGCGUUAAUCGGAAUUAUUGGGCGUAAAGCGUGCGCAGGUGGCGCGAUAAGCCGGCUGUGAAAGCCCCGGGCUCAACCUGGGAACGGCGUCGGGACUGUCAUGCUAGAGUGCAGGAGAGGGAGGUGGAAUUCCCGGUGUAGCAGUGAAAUGCGUAGAGAUCAGGAGGAAUACCGAUGGCGAAGGCAGCCUUCUGGGCUGACACUGACGCUGAUGCACGAAAUCGUGGGGAGCAAACAGGAUUAGAUACCCCUGUAGUC
rnacentral:rRNA from 1 species